CCGCACGAUAGAAACCCUAGCCGCCACACUCGCGCACUCGACCUGCCCAUUUGCGUCGCUCCGCCGCCGCCCCCGCCUCCGUGCCCUCGCCCCGCUUGCGGCCGAUGGCCUCCAGAUCCCCUCUCCCUUCGAUGUGCUUGCGCCGCCCUUCUCUCCCCUACUUGCCUGCCUCUCCAGCGCGAGCUACUGCCGGCGGUAACAGGGCUGAGCACAUGCUGGGAAGCGUAGCACUAACGCCGGCCAAGCACUCCCUCUCGGCACCCUUGCCUGCGCGUCCCUUCAAUCGUCGGCUUAAUCCAGACCAAGAAACGGGGAGAGGGUGUGGAUAGUGCGGCAGUUCCCUUGCCGGCGGCGCGUGGUGGUGGAGUGGUGGUCGGUGGUGCUUCCUCCCCCUUCCCCUGUACCUCAAAAAAUAUACCUCCUCCCUGUACUGAUUUUCCCCUCCUUCUUGGUGACUUGCAAAUGAUGCUGGAGCCAGUGAAAUCUUGCCUCACGAAUCAGGUUUUGCGAGCGCCGCCAAUGGUUCCGUGGCGAGGAAGAUGAUGCUCGAGGACGGGUUGGUGGCCGGCGACGAUCGAGGCGAGAGCUACGGCUACGAUAUGUUCGUCAUUGGAGCUUCCUCCUCAACAUUACUUGACAUGCAGUCAAUCAUAAAGGGGACAUGCCCUAUGUUACAUGUAGAUUGCUUGUUCACAAUCAGAUAAUUAAGGAUACACUGCCGAAAAUCUUCCCAGCAAUUUGAUGCUUUUGUGCAUUCAGAGUUAUCUACCUGUCUAUUGACCUAGGUGUGUGAUACUUGGCUGCAUCACCAAGAAGAUACUGGCCUAUGAGGCAUCGUUCUGGGGGAUUUGAGGCAAGUGGUCUUAGUGUCUUAUGCAAGGUAGCUAAUACUACUCAGGCUAUGUUGGCAUGCUAUGUUGGUGUGGCUGAAAAUUUGGUUGUUUCAUACCCGAGUAUCAAGAAGUAAGUUCCUAAUGCAGGGCCCUGUAUCCUAUGGUCUAAUAAUGUAUAAUCAUCAUACGCAGCUCAGGGAAAAUCAUGAUGCUCCAUUUACGACUAAUGAAACAUUUUUUUCUAAUGAAGAAUUAACAAUUACGGAUGGUUCGUCUAUGCCUAGCGUAGAUUUUAUUGAAGUUUAUGGUCGAGCUAAAAAUGUGUUCGGGUGGAAAAAGAAAAUGAAUGUUGUACUUCAUAUGGAAGCCUGUGACAUGGGUAGUACUGCUGACGCAAAAUCAUUGAAGAGACCCCAAACAAUGCAAAUUGGCUGCUACUAACACGGUUGAUGAAUACAAUGAACUUACAAUCUAAAAGCUUUGUUGGAAACCAUCUUUCAAAGUGACAGGGAGACUCUUCUACAUUUUGGUGCAUGCAGCUUCAGGUUGUGUUUCUAAAGGACAUAUACCAUCAUAUAAAUUCCAAGUAUCUUUGUGCAGUAUUUGUAAUAUUCAUGGUCUGCCAUUCCAUGUUUUUUGCCAUUAUUCUUUUAAUUUAUUCUUAAUCAUUGCAGAGGUUAAAGACACUAUACGCCUUCUAUGAGUAAUAAAGUCUGGUGCUGCAUCUAGCUGGGUGAUUAAAGAAUUUACUGUCCAGAUCCAUAAUGUCUAAAUUUGCUUUGCGCAUGAAAUUAAACUUGGCCUCUUUUCUUGAUAAUCAUGAUAAGAAUCUCGCUUAUUGUACCUUCGUAUAUGUGUUUUAGACUUUUAGUAUGCUGAUUACUUUGAUGCUUUGACUAAGAGGACUAUGUUUGAUUAAGAUGAUAUGUUUUAAGAGUUUUUUGAAUGAUCGUGUUCUAAUCCCCCUUAGUAUAGCGUGGGAAGACCUUUUAGUAUACUAUCAGUUUAAUAGGCAUAUAAGCCGCGAGUUCCUCAGUUUAUGUGUUUUCCAGAUCAUUCUAAGAACAUGUGUUCAAUAAUUUUUUUCUGCAAUUCCUACUGUAGAGAAAUCCAAAAGCCACUUUCAUAAGUAUAUUGCAGACCAAAUGAUGACUUCCAUUGAACUCAAUCUUCGAGCUUCUCAUACAUAACAAGUUGUGCUUUUCGUACACAUGCUAAGUUUUUACAUGACAAUAGUAUGUUAUUAUGAAUACAGGUUAGAGUAAUUAAUUGUUGUACGAGUAAGAUAUUAGAUGGAAAAAGCUGUGCUUUAAGUGUGUUUGUAUUGAUCCUAUGGCUUUUCAAGAAAUUUCUACAGCUCUUGGCUCUUGCAAUCUUUUCAAUGCAGGUUUGAAGUAUCUUUGGCUAGAGGUCAUUUUGCAUGAUUUGAUCUUUGUUAGAGAAGGUGAUUGUUCCCUCAGCUUCAAUGUGUUAUAUUGAUACAUGCAUGAUGCCCAUUCCCAAGCUUGCGGUCGACACAAAUCCAAAUUAGGCCAUGAUUAGGAUGAGAUUGUGCUUUCUUUGUCUCUAUAUAUGAUUUAUGAUUUUGAUGUUGUUUCUUGGGUCAUGGUCUGAAAUAAAUUUUGGUUCAGUUCUCAUUUUUUGCAUUGUGGUAAGAUAGAAAAAGUACAAAUACUUGUCGAGCUCUCAAUCAGGAUUUUUGUUUUGGGUCUCUUUGGUACAGUAGAAUAGAUACAAAACAGGUUUUCGAAUAAGGUUUUCUUUUGUUUUUUCGGAAAUUUCAGGUUUCUUCCUUCAUAGAAUUAUUCUAUUCCUGCCUAGCAUACACUGACUAUGGCUCAUGCUGGAACACAAGAUUAGUCACUCGCCUAAGCGGCUUGGAGGAGAUUCACCGGUGCAGGGUGCGCUUCCAUCUGGUGGCAAUCUGAGCAGAUAUUGAGGCGCAUCUGAUUUUUGUUUACUGCCCUUUUUCACACUAUAAGUAAUUAAAUUUAGUAGUAGUAGUAGUUAAUUGGUAGAGCUGUGCAUAGCUUUAGACUUUUUCUCACACUGCAAAUCCGUUGCUGACAGAACGAUUGUAUUGAUUUGUUCUUAUUCUUUGUGUUGUCACUAUUAUGUAAGAAAAACAUGACUCAAACCAUAUAAAAUCAUCAGGUGAACAAUCCUCGAAUGUGUCA